GAUGAACGCUGGCGGCGUGCCUAAUACAUGCAAGUCGAGCGAACAGACGAGGAGCUUGCUCCUCUGACGUUAGCGGUGGACGGGUGAGUAACACGUGGAUAACCUACCUAUAAGACUGGGAUAACUUCGGGAAACCGGAGCUAAUACCGGAUAACAUGUUGAACCGCAUGGUUCAACAGUGAAAGACGGUCUUGCUGUCACUUAUAGAUGGAUCCGCGCCGCAUUAGCUCGUUGGUGAGGUAACGGCUUACCAAGGCAACGAUGCGUAGCCGACCUGGGGGGGUGAUCGGCCACACUGGAACUGAGACACGGUCCAGACUCCUACGGGAGGCAGCAGUAGGGAAUCUUCCGCAAUGGGCGAAAGCCUGACGGAGCAACGCCGCGUGAGUGAAGAAGGUCUUCGGAUCGUAAAGCUCUGUUGUUAGGGAAGAACAAGUACGAGAGUAACUGCUCGUACCUUGACGGUACCUAACCAGAAAGCCACGGCUAACUACGUGCCAGCCGCCGCAGUAA
rnacentral:rRNA from 1 species